ensembl:lncRNA
AAAUAAACAAAAUAAGCAAAUGAGCACAAAACCUUUAAUGUUUUAAAAAUAACCUCAAUUAUUUAUAUUAGUACAAAUAGUUCGAUUUCUUUUUCUUUUCUUUUUACAAACACCAGCAUGAAAAGGAUUACAAUAAGAGUAGAAAAUGACUGAAAAACAUAUCAACAUCUUCUUCAAAUGUCUGCAAUUAAAAAUGGCAUUAAAGAAUUACAUUGCAAAGAGUCUUUAUCUGGAAGAAAUUCAAAAAAAAAAAGUAUUGCACAUAACAACUUGAAGUUAACUUGCAACAUUUUACCACAUUCAAGUCUUAAAGUUCCCCUUUCUCCAACAAGGUUAAACAACCUCAACAAACAGUUGGGGAUGAGUUUAUCAAGUCUUUUCAACAGUGUCCAAUGAGCUGCUCAAGUCCUGCACUGCUAAACUUGAUUUUAGAGUUAUUUAAUAUAUAUAUUUUUGUAUUUUUUUCUUUGCAUCCUGCAGAGGUCUGAGUAUGGGGAAGGCAAAGAGAGUAGCGAACACAUGGGAGGGGAGUGAGGUGUGGGGGGGUGUCCUUAACAAAUUAAAAUUGAGAAACAUCUGGUGCACAACCACAACAAUUAAUUCCAAUAGCUAAUUCAUGUACUUAUCUUUUUUUUUUUUGUCAUGCAUGCUAAGGAUUACAAUAGGAGCUAGUUGGCAAGUUCAAGAAUAUAUAUUUUCAAAUGUUAAAAAUACCUAAACACCAAACAUCCAUUCUUGUGAUACAAGAUUCAGCCUAAGCAUGAACCGUAAUUUGCAUUCUCCUUAUUAUAGUUAAUAUUCCAGCUACGGAGAGAAAACCAAAAAGAGAGAUGUUACCAUUUUCCAACUAGGCCAGCCAUUUUUGAAACAAUAACAUUAAUUUAAAAUGACAACUUUUUAAUGGCCAUGCUGUUAAAAUCUGAUUUUUGUGAGCCACCUAGGGAAUUGAGGUCCAAGACCUUAAGCAUUAGACUUUUAUGAUCGUUCCUCUGCAGUUUGAAGUCGCAACAACACAAGUGAGCACUUAGUUGUAAAGAUUCCUCAGCACUGAAAUGUAGAAAAAGCAUAAUUGAAAAUAAUAUAUAUUGAAAUCACUCAACUUUUUUUCUUUAAAUGAAAAUUUCCAUAUAUGCAGAUCUCUCAGUAACAAAAGUACAAAAGCUACCUUUCACAAUGUGAA